GCCACACUUCCGGCCUUUGUGGGCCGCAGCGACGGCGGUCUGCGGCUGUCGGUUCUGUUUGUGGCUGUCACUGCUGUUUGUUCCUGCCAGCGGCUAGGGUCUGGCUGUUUUGCCCAGAAUGGAGUGCAGUGGCGUGAUGGUCUCGGCUGACAGCAGCCUCGACCUCCUGGGCUCAAGCCUUGGCCUCCCAAAGUGCUGGGAUUACAGCCACCAUCCUGUGAGGAAACCCAGAGCACAUGAAGAGACCACCUGCACAUGUUCAGAUCCACUGCCCCAGCUAAGAUCUCCGCUGACAGCCAGACCAAUCACCAAUCUUAGGAGCUGGCGAGCCUUCAGAUGGUCCAACCUUUGAGGCCCCCCAGAGGAGCCAGGUGGAGCAUAGAUGAGCCAUCCAUGUGGAUCCCUUCACCAAAUGGAAGAUUUAGGAGCAAAAUAAACAAUGUUGUCAUUGCUUUCACCCACGAAA